CUUCUAAGGCUCCUUCCAAGACUCCUUCUAAGACUCCUUCCAAGACUCCUUCUAAGACUCCUUCAGAAGCGUCCUUCUAAGGUUUCCUUCUAAGACUCCCACUAAGACUCCCACAGACGCGUCCUUCUAAGGUUUCCUUCUAAGACUCCCACUAAGACUCCCACAGACGCGUCCUUCUAAGGCUCCUUCUAAGGCUCCUUCAGAAGCGUCCUUCUAAGGUUUCCUUCUAAGACUACUUCUAAGACUCCUUCUAAGGCUCCUUCAGACGCGUCCUUUUAAGGUUUCCUUCUAAGACUCCUUCAGAAGCGUCCUUCUAAGGUUUCCUUCUAAGGCUCCUUCAGAAGCGUCCUUCUAAGGUUUCCUUCUAAGACUCCUUCAGAAGCGUCCUUCUAAGGUUUCCUUCUAAGACUCCUUCAGAAGCGUCCUUCUAAGGUUUCCUUCUAAGACUCCUUCAGAAGCGUCCUUCUAAGGUUUCCUUCUAAGACUACUUCAGAAGCGUCCUUCUAAUGUUUCCUUCUAAGGCAUCCUUCUAAGACUCCUUCUAAGGCUCCUUCAGACGUGUCCUUUUAAGACUCCUUCUAAGGCUCCUUCAGAAGCGUCCUUCUAAGGUUUCCUUCUAAGACUACUUCUAAGACUCCUUCUAAGGCUCCUUCAGACGUGUCCUUUUAAGACUCCUUCUAAGGCUCCUUCACAUGCGUCCUUCUAAGGUUUCCUUCUAAGACUCCUUCUAAGGCUCCUUCAGACGCGUCCUAAGGUUUCCUUCUAAGGUUUCCUUCUAAGACUCCUUCUAAGGCUCCUUCAGACGCGUCCUUUUAAGACUCCUUCUAAGGCUCCUUCAGAAGCGUCCUUCUAAGGUUUCCUUCUAAGACUACUUCUAAGACUCCUUCUAAGGCUCCUUCAGAAGCGUCCUUCUAAGGUUUCCUUCUAAGGCUCCUUCAGAAGCGUCCUUCUAAGGUUUCCUUCUAAGACUCCUUCAGAAGCGUCCUUCUAAGGUUUCCUUCUAAGGCUCCUUCAGAAGCGUCCUUCUAAGGUUUCCUUCUAAGGCUCCUUCAGAAGCGUCCUUCUAAGGUUUCCUUCUAAGGCUCCUUCAGAAGCGUCCUUCUAAGGUUUCCUUCUAAGGCGUCCUUCUAAGACUCCUUCUAAGGCUCCUUCAGACGCGUCCUUUUAAGACUCCUUCUAAGGCUCCUUCAGAAGCGUCCUUCUAAGAUUUCCUGCUAAGACUACUUCUAAGACUCCUUCUAAGGCUCCUUCAGACGUGUCCUUUUAAGACUCCUUCUAAGGCUACUUCACAUGCGUCCUUCUAAGGUUUCCUUCUAAGACUCCUUCAGAAGCGUCCUUCUAAGGUUUCCUUCUAAGGCUCCUUCAGAAGCGUCCUUCUAAGGUUUCCUUCUAAGGCUCCUUCAGAAGCGUCCUUCUAAGGUUUCCUUCUAAGACUACUUCAGAAGCGUCCUUUUAAGACUCCUUCUAAGGCUCCUUCAGAAGCGUCCUAAGGUUUCCUUCUAAGACUACUUCUAAGACUCCUUCAGACGCGUCCUUUUAAGACUCCUUCUAAGGCUCCUUCAGAAGCGUCCUUCUAAGGUUUCCUUCUAAGACUCCUUCAGAAGCGUCCUUCUAAGGUUUCCUUCUAAGACUCCUUCAGAAGCGUCCUUCUAAGGUUUCCUUCUAAGACUCCUUCAGAAGCGUCCUUCUAAGGUUUCUUUCUAAGACUCCCUCUAAAACUCCUUCUAAGGCUCCUUCAGACGCGUCCUUUUAAGGUUUUCUUCUAAGACUCCCUCUAAGGCUCCUUCUAAGACUCCUUCUGACGCUUCCUUCUAAGGUUUCCUUCUUAGACUCCUUCUAAGGCUCCUUCAGACGCGUCCUUUUAAGGUUUUCUUCUAAGACUCCCUCUAAGGCUCCUUCUAAGACUCCUUCUGACGCUUUCUUCUAAGGUUUCCUUCUUAGACUCCUUCUAAGGCUCCUUCAGACGCUUUCUUCUAAGGUUUCCUUCUAAGGUAUCCUUCUAAGACUCCCUCUAAGGCUCCUUCAGAAGCGUCCUUCUAAGGUUUCUUUCUAAGGCUCCUUCUAACACUCCUUCUAAGGCUCCUUUACUUGCGUCCUUCUUAGAAUCCCUCUAAGGCUCCUUCAGACGCGUCCU